GCCCGGACCAUUGGCGUGUUCAAGAACAAUUCUCUCGAGCGCCGCCGGCUCGAGGCGGAGCGCAAGACCGCCGAGGCGGAGUCAGUGCAGCGGCGCAAGGCGGAAUUGCANNNNNNNNNUUCCAGUCCAACGUCGGCGGAAUUAUCGACAAGGUCCUGCAUUCGUCCGGCGAGUUCGAGAGUGCGGCAAGAAAUCUGACCGAAACCGCGCG
rnacentral:misc_RNA from 1 species